GUUUAUAUGGAGUGCAUCUAGAAUACAUUGAAAAAUUCUUCUGAGUGGGUGUUGUAGGAUAAUACUCCAAAUCACAGAAGGAAAAUAAAAUCAUUCAUAUAUCUCAUGGUAUCAACAAUCUUGUGAGUUUCUGAAACUUGUUUUGAAGCUCCUAACUUACUUGUGAGAAACUUCCUGCCAUUGCCCACUGUUUCAAGUACUGAUCUUUAGUUAGGUCAGCAUUUUUUCUCAAAGUGUUGAAAAGUGGCAUAUUGCUGAACUUUAACAAUGAUGGUAUUUGAUACUGGCAAAAAAAAAAGGAAGCAAAAAGUAAUUAUGAAAUAUUUUUACUGGCUUCAACAAUAGUUCUGCAAUUCCAGUGGUUUAAAUUGUCUUGUCAUCUACCUUGGGGUUUGAAUGUAAAACACAUAUCCACCUCAACAAUUUUAGUAUUUAAAAACAGGUAUUGCUUUGCUGGCCUAGAUGUUGAAAGCAGCAUAAUUGCACUCUUAAAAGCUGCUAGCUUUAUCUUAUUUUACAGGAGCCAACAAAUCUUUUUUUCCCCUCCCUAGUUCUUUGGCAGUAAAGUUACUUAGACUCAGAAAAUGACAAUCUGAAGAGAAGGAACUGUUUUUCCAAACUAUUCUGUCUUUAAGCAGAGCAGGCAUCCUAACAGAUGCAGUGAUACUCCACUGUCUUGUCUCCCUACUUGGUGGCUGAGGCCCAAAAGGGGACCUGGUCUUCUUCCCCUCUCCUCUCCUUUCUGCUUCACUUGCUGGUGACUGGGUGCUCCUUCCAAUCACCUCUGGCACUCACCUGAGCCAUGAACAUUCUGCAAUUUACCUGCAAAAUGGAAUUACUGUUUAUGGCUGUUAGCAGUUGCAACAUUUCUUUACGCCCGGUGACCCCCAUUUCCAUGUGCCCAGCUCCCAGAAGCUUCUCUCUGUGCCCAGCUGCCUCAGCCCGACUGCGAGAUGUCUGGCUCUCGCUGGGAGCCAGAAAGGAAGAGGAACGGCACGUCGAUCCUCGGAGCACAUCCUCCCACGCGCUGGCAGGCCCUGGUCCCCACAGGAUCCGAUUGCAGAAACUCUUUUUUUUCCUUUUUUUUUUUUUUCUUUCUAAAUGUUGCUGAUGGAAGAGAUGGUCGUGGCUCUGUCUUCUCUGUAACCUGUAGCCAGGCCUUUGGAGAAGUCGAGCCAAGAAGCAGGUAACCCAGCUUGUUCUUAUCUUCCUGGAGGCCACCGCCGCGUUGCCCAGCUCUGGGAGGAGCAGUCAGAGCAGCGGGUUGUGGACCAGCCUGGGGAGGCCGAUUCCCUAAAGCUUUUGUUGGGGUUGUACCACUGUGUGGGAAUUGGUGCAAGAUGUAUUGCACUAGGGGUUAAAAAAGAAAAGGACUGUGACUGCGGCUUCAUCUGAACCAUGUGUCCUGAACCAGAAAGUCCUGCAGGC
rnacentral:lncRNA from 1 species